UCUCAUCCAGCCUCAUAAAGCUAUGAGGAUGGCUAUAACAUGACAUCGUGGGUAAGAAGACAGCCCUGUUCCCUACAUAUUUCUCCUGCUUUGCUCACUGAUUAUUGAAACUUUUUUUUUUUUUUAACAGAAGCAAAGGCUUUCACUUUCUAGAGUGAAAAGAGAAAGGGACCAUGGACAUGCUCCUUGAAUGGUUAAUCACCCUGCCCCCCACUGAUGCCUGUGUGACCCAAGCUUUCCUCCUUCCUUGCUAGUCACUUGCCCCAAGACUUCUACACAUCAACUCCCCACUCUGGUGUCUCCUCUGUUGUCAUAAACCAUUGGGUUGUCCAGAAUCUUGGUUCUCAAAACAUGGUCCAUGAACCAGCAGUAUUAGCAUCACCUAUGAAUUUGUGUCCAACUUAAGACUACUGAGUCAGAAUCUUCAUUGUAACAUGAUAUGUAGAUGAUUUGUAUGAACAUUAGAACGUUAAAGUUUGAGAAGGUCUGGCCUGAAA
rnacentral:lncRNA from 1 species